UUUGGGGGAAUUCUCGAUUUUGACCUAAAGCAAAGGUCUUUACUCAAAAUAUUCUCUGGGUUUCGUGUUCUUUUUCCAUUUUUGCGGUGGGUGGACCGAGUAUGACCGUGUCAUUGUGCUUGAUUUUUGUGUUUAUAUUUUUGGAUAAAUAAGAAACAAGAAAAAUUAUUCCUUUGCGAUUUGGAUAGUUAUUUUAAAUAUUAUUUUAUGCUUUUAUGUGUAAAACGUCUGAAAUAAGUUUUGCUAACAGUUCAUUAUUGGAAAUGGGCCAGUAAUUCUAUGUCAAGUUCUUCAACUUUCUAAAUUGGGUUUGAUAUUUAAGAAAACCUUGGUGAAUUUAGUACUAAUGUAUCUCGGUGCUUGUGUUUUUUAAUAACAAAGUUUUGGCUUUUUAUUGUUUUAUUGAUAUUAAUAGGUUUAUUGGGUUGAAUUUAUUCUUGUGGCCUUCCCCAUUUUCCAAUUGAUUUCCUUUUGUUGAUGAAUGGAUCAUAUCCUAAUAUAGUCUGGUCACUGCAACAGGCAGGAACCACUGGCCCUUCGGUUUCUCAAAUUUUUUGGUCUCAUUCUUUCACAAAUCUUUGGUCACCAAAAGAGCUUCACUCAUUGUGACCCUUUAGGUUUGACUUACCACGGGAAUUGGAAGUAUGGCUGUCUCUUUAACUCGUUUGUCAUGGUGGUUGUGGGGUGGCAAAGAGAAAGAGCCAGUUUCCAGUGGCUCUCAGCUGAAGUCAUCUUCUGAAUGGGGUUUUAAGGAGAGAGAGACUGUGAAGUUUCCUUCUGUGAAGGGAACAAAGAUAGCUCCUUCUCACAGGAAGGGUAAAAGGAAAUGGCAGAGCAGGGAAGAGAGGAGACUUGAUAGAGAGUACGAUGUUGUGCUGGUGUCAUCUGAUGGUGAUGGUUGUUGGUCAGACUCUGAAUCUGAUGACUCAGAUUGGUCCAUUGGGUGGUUGGAGCCUCAUGGCUCUGAAUUUCUUCAGAGUGAUGACGAUAUGGAUAAUAGUUUUGCUGUGCUGGUUCCAUGCUAUAGAAAGGAGGUGGAGAGUUCAAGCAAGGAGCUUUUGAGUGCCAUCAAGAACCUUCCAAAUGAAUUUUCUCCUGUUUUCUAUGUGGUUUGGCCUUGUUGAGGAUUCUGAUGCUAAUGAAGAAAUGUGUCAGUCAUUAUCAAAUACUAUGCACUGUUUAGUAAUUAUGAGUGCAAUGGUAAUUGGGGCUUCAAACUCGCUAAGUCCAAAUAGGCUAAUACAUACUACAUGAUAUAGACCAGCAAGCAAAAGCUACAUGGAACACUGGCUAGCUUCUCUUCAGAGUUUUAAAGCGUAGAAAACUACAUCUUCUGACAACCUUCUAGGAGUAGAGGAGGCUAAAUAAUCCAUCCAUCCCAUGUAUUUUUUGUACAAAGAAAUCAUCUUCUCCUCUUAUUGCAAGAGCUUAAAUUGAAAUGGAAAAUUUCAAUCUAGAAAA